AAUAGAUACCCAGGUAGUCCACGCCGUAAACGUUGGGUACUAGGUGUGGCGUCCCGAUCAACGGAUGCCGUGCCGAAGCUAACGCAUUAAGUACCCCGCCUGGGGAGUACGGCCGCAAGGCUAAAACUCAAAGGAAUUGACGGGUCCCCGCACAAGCGGCGGAGCAUGCGGCUUAAUUCGAUGCAACCCGAAGAACCUUACCUGGACUUGACAUCAUGGGAAAAGCCGUAGAAAUACGGUGUCCGUAAGGGUCCAUGACAGGUGGUGCAUGGCUGUCGUCAGCUCGUGUCGUGAGAUGUUGGGUUAAGUCCCGCAACGAGCGCAACCCUUGUCCUAUGUUGCCAGCGCGUAAUGGCGGGGACUCAUAGGAGACUGCCGGGGGACAACUCGGAGGAAGGUGAGGACGACGUCAAGUCAUCAUGCCCCUUAUGUCCAGGGCUGCACGCAUGCUACAAUGGCCGGUACAACAGGCAGCGAACUCGCGAGGGUGAGCGAAUCCUCAAAGCCGGCCUCAGUUCGGAUUGGAGU
rnacentral:rRNA from 1 species